rnacentral:rRNA from 1 species
CCUCGGGGAUCAGCAGUGGGGAAUAUUGGACAAUGGGCGAAAGCCUGAUCCAGCCAUGCCGCGUGUGUGAAGAAGGCCUUCGGGUUGUAAAGCACUUUCAGUGGGGAAGAAAGCCUUGGGGCUAAUACCCUCGAGGAAGGACAUCACCCACAGAAGAAGCACCGGCUAACUCCGUGCCAGCAGCCGCGGUAAUACGGAGGGUGCGAGCGUUAAUCGGAAUUACUGGGCGUAAAGCGCGCGUAGGCGGUCUGAUAAGCCGGUUGUGAAAGCCCCGGGCUCAACCUGGGAACGGCAUCCGGAACUGUCAGGCUAGAGUGCAGGAGAGGAAGGUAGAAUUCCCGGUGUAGCGGUGAAAUGCGUAGAGAUCGGGAGGAAUACCAGUGGCGAAGGCGGCCUUCUGGACUGACACUGACGCUGAGGUGCGAAAGCGUGGGUAGCAAACAGGAUUAGAUACCCUGGUAGUC